UUUGUAUUGUAACUAACGAAAUGAUAAUUUUAAAUUUAAUAGAUUUAACAUUGACGAGAUCUGGUCUGUGAGAAUGCUAAUGAGCAGAUGAGCUACUGGUUGGUUUCUUAGACGCGCUGCAGUGUGUUAGUGUGUCACGAGAAGUACAGUUGGGUGUAUGUGUAGCGUCGUCUUGCUUACAAUGAGAUUUUGAUAGUGUGUGAGUAGUAAAAUUUGCGCGAAAACCGAAGAAUGUAAAAAAUACAAGUCUGGUGUCGAGAUUAAGAAAAUAUGAGUGAAAAAUUCCCAUGACUAAAAUUUGAUACUUGGAAAAUAUUCAACACUUGCUUUAAAGAAUAAUUGGGGUGAUCUGGACUUUUUUAUUGCUUUGCUUACACCCUGCCUCGUUUAACCUUCUUGCCAUUUGUUGUUUAUCAGCCGUUACAACCAAUAGAAAUAAAAUAGAAAUAAUUUUCUCAAAAAUAAGGGAAGAUUAUAUGCAAUGUGAAUCUGAUUUAGAAUUAGAAAUUAUGCAAGAAUAUGGAUUUAUAGCAAAAAAUGCAUACAUAGUUGAAUUUAUUGUUGGCCGCUUUGAGAAACAAUUGGAGGAAUAUGGAUACUUUGGUCAGUUGGCUUCCAAGCUGCCUUGUUACUUUUACAGUCAUUAGUGGUUUAAUAUAGCUGUUAGUGACAAUAGGAAUAAGUCAUUUUUUAUGUAGUUGGAGUAGAAUACGUUUCCUUGCCCCUUGUGCCAUUUUUUCUGGAUAUAGUAAGACCGUUAAAUGAAUCUCGUCCAAGAACGCUUAUUAUGAUUGCAGAAUAUUUCGUUGAUCCUGAUGAUUAUUAUAAUUAUAUAGCAAUAGCAAUACAUCAAGUGCCCACAGGUCUUCUAAUAACUACAGUUAUUUUAGGAAUUGAUGGAAUUUUUAUAGUCUUCAUCUAUCAUGCUUGUGGUCAAUUUGAAAUUUUAGGAUUAAAAAUAAAAAACAUUGUAAAAAUUGAUGACAGCAUGUCGAUUCCUGAUGAAAAGGAUUUUAAAAAUGAAAUUAAAUUAUUUGUUAGAAAGCAUAGAUUGGUUAUAAUGUUUGUAUUAAUUCAAACCACGUUAACUCUAACAGCAAAUAUUUCAUUUUUUUUUUAAUAUAAAUAUUUAUGAAAAUGUAAUGUUUAAAAAAGAUGCAUCGCUUCUUUAUUGUGUGGAAGUUAAGGGGUUGCAUUUAGUUAGACAGCCGAAAAGUUUAUUGUUACACUUGACAUGGUUUGAUACUUUCAUUUUUCGUAAAAUAAAAAAAAAUUAUAUCAAAAGCAAAGAAAACUUUUGUAAUUUUUUAUGAAAUUUUUAAGGUUUGUAAACGAAGUUAGUGAAUGCUUCUCAAUGCCCUACUUUUUUGGUUUGGGAUUGAAUAUGCUAAUGAUAAGCAUUACAGCAGUUCAGGUAAAGCAAAAAAAAAUUAUACCUCUACGUAUAACAACCUAAAAGAAUAUUUAUAAAAUGCCUAAUAAUUUAACAGUUAGUCGUAAAUUUAGACAGUGAAAGUGAAACUGUUAAACUUCUGAUAUACAGUACGGGGCAAAUUGUUCGCCUCUUUUGUUUAGCAUUGCCCAUCAGUCAGCGUUUAAUUGACCAAAGUACUCUACUUUUUCAAUAUAUGUAAGUAGCUUAAAAAAUAUAUUAAACCAAAAAAAAAGAAUAUCACUAUUUGCGUUAAAAUUUUGAAAGUAAUUUUAAAAUUAUAGAUAUGAAAGCUACUGGUAUACUUUAACUCCGGAGUCAAAACAAAUAAUAAGAAUCUUAAUGCUAAUGUGUAUAAAACCUGUGACUUUUACAGCAGGAAAACUGUACUCUUUUUCAAUGAGUAGCUUUAGUGCUGUACGUAUCAACUAUAAAUUUUGUUUUUUAUUUUUAUAAUGAUAUUCGUUAAUUAAUCUUUUUGCUUUUUUAAGGUGAUGAGAACAUCCGUGUCAUAUUUUACAGUCUUGUUGUCAGUGCGUGAAUAGAUGUACCCUAAAAAUAUUCUUCUAUAAAAAUAAUGUAACUGACGAUUUUUCUUAAUAAUUAUCAUAAUUUAUGUAAUUUCUUUAUUUCUUGGUUUGGUUCUAUAACACUCUAUAGAAUUCAGGAAAGAAAACACUUUAUAUAGAUGUGUAUAUUUUUUGUGAAAAUCUCACUGCAAGAAAAAGUAUCUUAUUACUAGUUUUCUACCUUCUAUUUUCUUGGGA